UCACAGGGCUCAGCUACCGGAGCGCAGUUGGGGGGAAGUGGGCACCCACGGCUCCCACCUGCCCCUCGGCCGAGGAGCUCGUGCUUGCCGCAGGCAGGAGGAGGAGGAGGAAAUUCAAGAGGGGGAAGGCAGCCGCAGCAGCCAGCCCGUGAUUCAUGCGCACAGCUCAUCAGGCCUCCCUGGAAAGCCCCCGAGGAGGCACAGCUCUCGGACACAUCUGUGCGGGCGGCACAGUUGCCAGCGGCGGGCUGGGCCAGCCCGCACCUGCACCGGGGCCGCGGGCCGCAUUGUUCUGCCUUCCUGCGCCUGCCCCCCUGCGCGGCUCCCACCCGCCAAGGGAAGAAGCGUCUGCAAAGCAGCCGUGCCCGCCAGAGGCACCGCGCCGGGCAGAAUGCUGGCAGGAAGGGUUUGACUCACACUGGAAUUAAUGAAAACAAAAGUCUGCAAAUAAAUAGCAUUCGCACUGUUUCCUCA